UUUGAGGGGACUGUUGUCUGGCUCGAAGACUCUAAUUCUAAUCUCAGAUCUGAUGAUUUGAUUAGGAUUUUUAGUGUCUUCGGACCAGGCUUCAUUCCCCCCAAU
rfam:Arabis alpina cultivar Pajares chromosome 5, whole genome shotgun sequence.